rnacentral:rRNA from 1 species
GAUGAACGCUGGCGGCGUGCCUAAUACAUGCAAGUCGAGCGAACAGACGAGGAGCUUGCUCCUCUGACGUUAGCGGCGGACGGGUGAGUAACACGUGGAUAACCUACCUAUAAGACUGGGAUAACUUCGGGAAACCGGAGCUAAUACCGGAUAAUAUAUUGAACCGCAUGGUUCAAUAGUGAAAGACGGUUUUGCUGUCACUUAUAGAUGGAUCCGCGCCGCAUUAGCUAGUUGGUAAGGUAACGGCUUACCAAGGCAACGAUGCGUAGCCGACCUGAGAGGGUGAUCGGCGACACUGGAACUGAGACACGGUCCAGACUCCUACGGGAGGCAGCAGUAGGGAAUCUUCCGCAAUGGGCGAAAGCAUGACGGAGCAACGCCGCGUGAGUGAUGAAGGUCUUCGGAUCGUAAAACUCUGUUAUUAGGGAAGAACAAAUGUGUAAGUAACUAUGCACGUCUUGACGGUACCUAAUCAGAAAGCCACGGCUAACUACGUG